UCCACCUGGGACCCCCCAAAGUUCACCUGGGACCCCCAAACCUCACCUGGGACCCCCCAAAAUUCACCUGAACACCCCAAAAUUCACCUGGGACCCCCCAAAAUCAGACGAGGCCUUUAGAAAACACCUUUAAUGGGGGCACAGGUAAUAAAUAGGGGGCUCAGGUGGGCACAGGUGGGCUCAGGUGGGCUCAGGUGUGCCCAGGUGUGCCCAGGUGUGCCCAGGUGUGCCCAGGUGCGCUCAGGUGAUCCCAGGUGAUUCCAGCUGUGCCCAGGUGUGCCCAGGUGCGCCCAGGUGUGCCCAGGUGCGCCCAGGUGCGCCCAGGUGUGCCCAGCUGCGCUCAGGUGCAGUUCAGGUGAUCCCAGGUGCGCUCAGGUGCGGCAGCAGAGGCCGCAGCCGCGGUUGCGGCAGCAGCCGCAGCAGAAGGAGCAGAGCGGGAAGUGGGGGCUGUGCCGGCGGCGCCGCGCCCAGGUGAGCGCCAGGUGAGGGGGCACGGCCUCGGCCGGGCCGCCGGCAGGGGUCACCUGGGGGAAGCAAAAUUCCAGGUAUGAAUCCCUGGGAACACCUGAAAUCCAGGUGAGGUUACCUGGGAACACCUGAAAUCCAGGUGUGAGUCC
rnacentral:lncRNA from 1 species